AGCAGCUGGGCUGAGAACAUCCCAGCCCAGGGCUCCCUGGAGACUGAGAGGAGAGAGAAGUCAGAAGAACAACUAAAGGAAAAGUCCAGUCCCCUGUGCUUAGCAGAACAACAGGCUGUUCCCUGCUGAUCAGACCUCACACAGAAGCCCCCAGGACCAGGCCAGGGGCAACUGCUGAGAAAGCAAUGUGUCAGCUCAAGUCUUACCCUCUGGCAACCUUUUGGUAAGCAGUGCUUCUCAACUUGACCUUGGAUGCCAUCAACUUAACUCCUAAGUCAGUUAUAAGUGUCCUGAUGUUCAACCCACUGUUCUGGAGGAAGAUGUGAGGGGGAAAGAUUGUUCCCACACCUUUUUACUAUUCUUUCUGACUGCAGCACUGACUGAAGAAUUUCCUCUUGGACUUGAAGGCUCAGCAGCAACAGCAUGCUCAGACAUGUUCUCUGCCUACCCCUUUCAGACACAGAGCAAGCUCCCGGAGGCCAGGGAUGACCAUCUAGAACCACCCAGUAUACCAUCAGCACAUGAUUUGUUGGCCUCAUCUCUUUCCCCCACUGGCUGGCUGAUGCCCAGAUUCUGCACCGAGAGCCUCAUGCACAGUGUGGUUUAUCUUCUGUUGGGGCAGGAGGUAGUGGUUGAAACCACGCUGUUGGAGGAGCCUGCCUGCUUGCCACUCUUUGCUCCACUGCUUCUAGCCCAUGGUCCCCUGGUUGAGCAUCUGCUAACACUGUGUAGCAUUUUCUCACCUCUAAACUGGAAGGCAGUACUCACCUUACAGGGUGGUCGCGGGGAUUAAAUUGGACAACACAUGUAACAUGUUG